CACGGGGGGAGCAAGCGUUGUUCGGAAUCACUGGGCGUAAAGGGCGUGUAGGCGGUCAGGUAAGUGGGAUGUGAAAGCCCUCGGCUCACCCGAGGAUCUGCAUCUCAAACUGCCUGGCUUGAGUAUGGGAGAGGAUGAGGGAAUUCCUGGUGUAGCGGUGAAAUGCGUAGAUAUCAGGAGGAACACCGGUGGCGAAGGCGCUCAUCUGGCCCAAUACUGACGCUGAGGAGCGAAAGCGUGGGUAGCAAACAGG
rnacentral:rRNA from 1 species